rnacentral:tmRNA from 1 species
GGGGGUGACACGGAUUCGACGGAGCUCGUCAAAUCUCAAGUUGCAUGUCGAGACUGUCCAAUGGUUCUCGUAAAUCAACCAUUAUGGAAACAGUAAUUGGCAACGAUUACAACUACAGCUUAGCUGCCUAAACGCGCUUUGCCGUCCACUCGCUGACUUGUCUAUGGGUCUCGACUUGGAUGUCAACUCUACAUAGUCUAGCCAAUGACGGUGUCUUGACGUCGGAGGCGAAUCCUUUCAAGACUGGCAAGUGGAAGCCUGUUAACGGGCACUCCCACUUGUAAGAUUCAAUACGUUAACUACACAUGUAGACGCUUGGUGGUUUACGGUUUCGGACCGGGGUUCGACUCCCCGCACCUCCACAA